CGCCACCACGACUUCCACGACCACCACCUGCAAAUACCAUCCACAAAAAUCCAUCCCAAAUCAUUGAACAACUAUCACAGUUGUGAUGCUUCGACAAUUUCAACAGCGCAGAUCUAUCACCACCACUCAUCCCCCUCCCCGCAACCACCACCUCCACUAAAAAAUUCCCAAACCUCCGCUACCAUGAUCUCCACGACCACCACCUGCAAACACCAUCCACAAAACUCACCCUAAAUCACUGCACAACCACUGUAGCCACGACGGCUUUGAUGAUUCUGACGGCGCUACUGCUAUGUGUCAUGCACACCGUACACAACGACAUUGUUAUCACCCGAUACGUGACGUUGCUGUGGCUUCCGACAACACUGCUGAUGUUUGUCGUUGCCUGCUAUGUAUCGAUGGUGGGUUCUUUGCGGCGAUAGAAGAGAGAUGGCAAAGAGGAUAGGUAAAGUGAAUAGAAAUGAAAAAUGAUCUAGGGUUAGGGUUUGGGUGGGGGUGGAGUGGUAAUAUAGAUUAAAUUAUUUUUAUAAAAUUAUUAUUAUUAUUAUUUAAAAAUUAUAUUAUUAUCUGAUUUUUGUAGAAAUAAACCUAACAUAUGAUUUGUGAAAUGGGAUCUUUAAACGUAGGGUUUUAUGUAAUUUCCACUAUAAUAAAUUUUUCUACCUAGAACAAUAUCAAUUAAAACAUCUAGUCGGACUCCGCCCAAUCUUUUAAGCAAAUUCAUCU
rnacentral:sRNA from 1 species